GGGUUGUGAGGUUAAGCGACUAAGCGUACACGGUGGAUGCCCUGGCAGUCAGAGGCGAUGAAGGACGUGCUAAUCUGCGAUAAGCGUCGGUAAGGUGAUAUGAACCGUUAUAACCGGCGAUUUCCGAAUGGGGAAACCCAGUGUGAUUCGUCACACUAUCAUUAACUGAAUCCAUAGGUUAAUGAGGCGAACCGGGGGAACUGAAACAUCUAAGUACCCCGAGGAAAAGAAAUCAACCGAGAUUCCCCCAGUAGCGGCGAGCGAACGGGGAGGAGCCCAGAGCCUGAAUCAGUGUGUGUGUUAGUGGAAGCGUCUGGAAAGGCGCGCGAUACAGGGUGACAGCCCCGUACACAAAAAUGCACAUACUGUGAGCUCGAUGAGU
rnacentral:rRNA from 1 species